UACGGGGGGGGCAAGCGUUGUUCGGAAUUACUGGGCGUAAAGCGUGCGCAGGCGGUUUGUUAAGACAGAUGUGAAAUCCCCGGGCUUAACCUGGGAACUGCAUUUGUGACUGGCAAGCUAGAGUAUGGCAGAGGGGGGUAGAAUUCCACGUGUAGCAGUGAAAUGCGUAGAGAUGUGGAGGAAUACCGAUGGCGAAGGCAGCCCCCUGGGCCAAUACUGACGCUCAUGCACGAAAGCGUGGGGAGCAAACAGG
rnacentral:rRNA from 1 species